rnacentral:lncRNA from 1 species
AUGAAGAAGGGAAAAAAAAAAAUCAAAACAGGAGAUUCCCUUCUGCAUCUAGACAAUCCUUCCCUUUGGUAUCGUACUAUUUCAUCUCAAAUAGCUCAUCACCUGGGUAAGGGAAUCAAAAUAACAAGAAAAAUUAUCCAUUUUACACCCUCCCCCUCUUUAAAUUACUUUGAGAUAAAACCUUGCUAUAAAGACCAAUGGAAUUAGAACUAUAACUGUAAUGAAGUCCUCAUUAUUAUUUUUUCCCCCCAUUUUAGCAUCUGCAAUGCAAAGCAGACACCUACAUCAGAACUCUCAUAAGGGGGAGAGAGAGAGAGGCACUUCCAAGAGGUCACUGAUGCUUGAGGACUGCUGUAUUCCUGGGAGAGAUUAAACCAGCCCUUGUUCAACAGCUUCUGUAGGAAAUUUAAAUAGUGAGGUAAAAAAAAUCCAGAGGUUUCCUGCUGUAUAAUCCAGGAGCCUUAAGCUUCAGCUACUUUCAAAUGUUAGUUGGUAGUUCCAGAAGCAGUUCAACUCUAGUCUUGGUCUCCACAUACUGCAGAGCCUGCAGAAUGUGAAUCAGCAAAGGUAGUGCCUUUACUUGAUUGUAACAGACUUAUGGCAGUUCCUCUUUCCUGGUCUGAUCACAGGCUACCCAUGGGGAAUGGGAAGCCAAUCCUAUUAGUGUAAGGGAAACUGUUUAUCACAGCCUGAACCUCUGAUUAACCAUCUGAGGCAAGUGACGAGUCAGCUGUGGGAGCACAGGUGAAGGUAAUUCAGCUGUGCUCCUGGAAGGGGUGGAGCUUGACUCUACCUCUCCUAGAUCCCAUUUAAGAGCUGACCACCACUAAGGCAGCAUCUCUUUCUGGAGAUUGCUCCUUUGUGGAGUUUUUGUGGUGAGCCUCAAUGUUGGUGAGCAUCCAUCUUGACUGAAAGCCUCAGCACUGGUGAGUCUUUUCUUAGAUACCCUCUGGCUAUCCAUUUACCCUGUAAUUACAGCUAUGUACUUGUAUUAUUGUAUAUUUGUAUUAUUAUAUACAACUAUAUGUGUUAGAAACUUCAAUUGUAUGUUAUGGCCUGAUGUUUUAUUUCUGCCUUGCCUAGAUAACAAAUGAAAAGCUCACAUGCAAGAAUAGGCUUGUGCAUCACCUUAAUGCUGGGGUCCAGAGUAGCAGAAAAGUCAAUUGAAAACCAUCCUGCAGAAAGGAGGUCAGACAAGCUGGAAGGA